GAUGAACGCUGGCGGCGUGCCUAAUACAUGCAAGUCGAGCGAACAGACGAGGAGCUUGCUCCUCUGACGUUAGCGGCGGACGGGUGAGUAACACGUGGAUAACCUACCUAUAAGACUGGGAUAACUUCGGGAAACCGGAGCUAAUACCGGAUAAUAUAUUGAACCGCAUGGUUCAAUAGUGAAAGACGGUUUUGCUGUCACUUAUAGAUGGAUCCGCGCCGCAUUAGCUAGUUGGUAAGGUAACGGCUUACCAAGUCAACGAUGCGUAGCCGACCUGAGAGGGUGAUCGGCCACACUGGAACUGAGACACGGUCCAGACUCUUACGGGAGGCAGCAGUAGGGAAUCUUCCGCAAUGGGCGAAAGCCUGACGGAGCAACGCCGCGUGAGUGAUGAAGGUCUUCGGAUCGUAAAACUCUGUUAUUAGGGAAGAACAAAUGUGUAAGUAACUAUGCACGUCUUGACGGUACCUAAUCAGAAAGCCACGGCUAACUACGUG
rnacentral:rRNA from 1 species